AUUAACCUAGCAUUAGCUUUAAUAAUCAACACCUUGCAAGCCCUAUUACUGAUAAUUAUUAUUACAUUCUGACUAUCACAACUCCAUACUUACAUAGAAAAGUCUAACCCUUAUGAAUGCGGGUUUGAUCUAUUAUCCUCCACCCGCAUUCCUUUAUAAAAUUUUUCCUAAUUGCCAUCACCUUUCUAUUAUUUGACUUAGAAAUUGCCCUAGUAUUAUCCUUACCAUGAGCCCUUCAAACAACCAACCUACCACUAAUAAUUAAUUCAUCCCUUAUACUAGUACUAGGUCUGACUUAUGAAUGAACUCAAAAGGGGUUAGACUGGGCC
rnacentral:lncRNA from 1 species